rnacentral:rRNA from 1 species
UAGGGAAUAUUGGACAAUGGGGGCAACCCUGAUCCAGCCAUGCCGCGUGAGUGUAGAAGGCCCUCGGGUUGUAAAGCUCUUUUGUCCGGAAAGAAAAGCUUCGGGUUAAUACCCCGGGGUUCUGACGGUACCGGAAGAAUAAGCACCGGCUAACUUCGUGCCAGCAGCCGCGGUAAUACGAAGGGUGCAAGCGUUACUCGGAAUUACUGGGCGUAAAGCGUGCGUAGGUGGUUGUUUAAGUCUGAUGUGAAAGCCCUGGGCUCAACCGGGGAAUGGCAUUGGAAACUGGGCAGCUAGAGUGCGGUAGAGGGUAGUGGAAUUCCCGGUGUAGCAGUGAAAUGCGUAGAGAUCGGGAGGAACAGCUGUGGCGAAGGCGACUGCCUGGACCAGCACUGACACUGAGGCACGAAAGCGUGGGGAGCAAACA